rnacentral:rRNA from 1 species
UACGGGGGGGGCAAGCGUUGUUCGGAAUUACUGGGCGUAAAGGGCUCGUAGGCGGCCAACUAAGUCAGACGUGAAAUCCCUCAGCUUAACUGGGGAACUGCGUCUGAUACUGGAUGGCUUGGAUUCGGGAGAGGAAUGCGGAAUUCCAGGUGUAGCGGUGAAAUGCGUAGAUAUCGGAAGGAACAUCAGUGGCGAAAGCGACUUCCUGGACCAAUACUGACGCUCAUGUGCGAAAGCGUGGGGAGCAAACAGG